CGCAAACGCACCAGCAGGCAGACAGGAAGGUUACUAUGGGAAAUGCCCCUGUGACGUCAUCAAACUUUUCCCCAAACUGUGCCCUACAUCAUAGCCCGCAGGUCAGCACCCCCUGUGUUCUCCAUCCCUUCCUCAUCUGGCAUUCAGGCAUGCUACAAUGACCCAGUGAUGCUGUGUGACAGGCCAGGCAGGGCACUCGCUGUUUGUGUCAAUCCAGAUCAAUCACUCCCUCUUCUGGACGGACAACGUCAUCAACGUGCAGAAAGGUCACGGGGGCUGUGCCACAGCCAGGCCUGGUGUUAGGAGCAGGCAGGCCAGCUUAGGAAGUAAACAACCUUGACUGACUGAGUGUUGGCAAAUCCUGCAGGGGACAAGAUAAGCCCUCCUGUGCCCCACACCCUGCAGCACCUCUGUUCUCUAAUGAUACGUGUAAAUGUGGCCCAGUGCUUACACUUCUAUAGGAGAACAGGAAGCAACAACACAAUAGCCAAAUACAACCCAUUUGAGGAAAAAAAACCCAACAAGAAACAGCACUUCACGGCCCAGAAUGCACUGCACCCAAGGGAGCAACCUCAAUUACUGUUACACGUCCGAAGAGAAGAACUCUAGGAGAAGUGAUUGCUGGGAUGGAAAUGGCUGUGUAUGUGUGUUUGUGCAUGUGUAAGUGUGUCUUUUAGUGAAUGCGUGUGUGUGGGUCGGGAGAGGAUGGAUAGAAAAGCACUCAGUAAAAAGAUCUUUCAGAAACACUUUGCCGCAGUGACGUUGACGCGAGCUGUUGAUUGACAUGCACUUCUCGACAGAAACCAGAGCUAUCAACCUAUCUGCCACGCAUUAAGAAUGGCACGGUCCUCUGGGAGGGGCCUAAGUGGUAAAUGAUGUUGUUCAAGACAGUCUCUGUCAACAAUGCAUGUGUAUUUGUGAGUGUGCUAUUGCUGAGGAUGGCAAAGUAUUCAAUCAGAGCUCUGAUUGAAAAAGCUCUGUGUCCUUAAAGAUCAGUUUUCUGUCUAACGAUGAACAGGACGUGUAUGUUUUACUGUAUGUGGUUGGGAUGAAGCUGUGCGAUUUGUUGUAAAUACAAUAUUGUGCUAAGCAAUUGGGGUAAAAUGUAGCUGGCAGAAGGUCUCAAAUAACAUUUAAGUAGUGAA